AGGAAAGAGUGGACAUUGAUCCGGACGAUUGGACUGAGCAUCAUGCGGAGGACGACAGUAAAAUGGAUGUAGAAGAACUUAAGAAAAAGCCACAUUUCUUCAAGAAAGCACUAAUGUGCUUCUGUGGACUGGAGCAGAACAAAAAAGCACCAAAACUUACUCCAGAGGAGGAAGCAGAACUGAAGAAGCAGCUAACAGAUACAACAGAGAAGCCUCUCUGGAGGAACAUUGUCAAUGCAAAUGUCAUCAUCCUCCUGAGUGUCACUGUGUUCUUCCACGGCUACUUUGGUUAGUCAAACCACAUCAACAUUAAGUGGUACCGGAUGCUGUAAUUUAUUUUGCAUGGAUUCAAAUUAUAACAAAACCAUUAAUGUUGAUCAUGUGUGCAAUCAUUCUUCCUGUAUUGUGCCAACUGAUCUCACAUAGGACACAAAGUGUACUUUUCUCAAUGCACCUUCCUUUUAAGUUAA